rnacentral:rRNA from 1 species
AUUGAACGCUGGCGGUAUGCUUUACACAUGCAAGUCGAACGGUAACAGGUCUUCGGAUGCUGACGAGUGGCGAACGGGUGAGUAAUACAUCGGAACGUGCCCGAGAGUGGGGGAUAACGAGGCGAAAGCUUUGCUAAUACCGCAUACGAUCUCAGGAUGAAAGCAGGGGACCGCAAGGCCUUGCGCUCACGGAGCGGCCGAUGGCAGAUUAGGUAGUUGGUGGGAUAAAAGCUUACCAAGCCGACGAUCUGUAGCUGGUCUGAGAGGACGACCAGCCACACUGGGACCGAGACACGGCCCAGACUCCUACGGGAGGCAGCAGUGGGGAAUUUUGGACAAUGGGCGCAAGCCUGAUCCAGCCAUGCCGCGUGCAGGAUGAAGGCCUUCGGGUUGUAAACUGCUUUUGUACGGAACGAAAAGACUCUGGUUAAUACCUGGGGUCCAUGACGGUACCGUAAGAAUAAGCACCGGCUAACUACGUGCCAGCCGCCGCGGUAAGAC